UGUGUCUGACUGUGUGUCAGUGAGUGUGCGUGUCUACUAGUGUGUGUGUGUCUGUUAGUGUGUGUCUGACUAUGUGUGUGUCUGUUAGUGUGAGUGUGUUUGCCUGUGAGUGUGUGUGUCAGUGAGUGUGUGUCUGUUAAUGUGUGUGUGUGUUUGUUAGUGUGUGUCUGACUGUGUGAGUGUGUGUGUGUCUGCUAGUGAGUGAGUGUGUCUGUUAGUGUGUGUGUCUGACUGUGUUUGUCUGUUAGUGUGUAUGUGUGUGUCUGACUGUGUGUCAGUGAGUGUGUGUGUGUCUGCU